rnacentral:rRNA from 1 species
CAGUCGCCACGGGAAUACGAAGGGGGCUAGCGUUGUUCGGAAUUACUGGGCGUAAAGCGCACGUAGGCGGAUAUUUAAGUCAGGGGUGAAAUCCCGCAGCUCAACUGCGGAACUGCCUUUGAUACUGGGUAUCUUGAGUAUGGAAGAGGUUAGUGGAAUUGCGAGUGUAGAGGUGAAAUUCGUAGAUAUUCGCAGGAACACCAGUGGCGAAGGCGGCUAACUGGUCCAUAACUGACGCUGAGGUGCGAAAGCGUGGGGAGCAAACAGGAUUAGAUACCCGUGUAGUCCCUGUCUCUUAUAC